rnacentral:rRNA from 1 species
UACGAAGGGGGCUAGCGUUGCUCGGAAUGACUGGGCGUAAAGGGCGCGUAGGCGGAUUGUACAGUCAGGCGUGAAAUUCCCGGGCUCAACCUGGGGGCUGCGCUUGAGACGUGCGAUCUUGAGUGGGGAAGAGGGUCGUGGAAUUCCCAGUGUAGAGGUGAAAUUCGUAGAUAUUGGGAAGAACACCGGUGGCGAAGGCGGCGACCUGGUCCUUGACUGACGCUGAGGCGCGAAAGCGUGGGGAGCAACAGG